rnacentral:rRNA from 1 species
UACGUAGGUGGCGAGCGUUGUCCGGAUUUACUGGGCGUAAAGCGCACGCAGGUGGCUUGCCAAGUCUGAGGUGAAAUCUCCCGGCUCAACCGGGAGAGGUCUUUGGAUACUGGCAGGCUUGAGGGCAGCAGAGGAGAGCAGAAUUCCCGGUGUAGCGGUGAUAUGCGUAGAUAUCGAGAGGAAUACCUGUGGCGAAGGCGGCCAACUGACGAGUACUGACGCUGAGACACGAAAGCGUGGGGAGCAAACA